rnacentral:rRNA from 1 species
CCUACGGUGUGCAGCAGUGGGGAAUAUUGCGCAAUGGGCGAAAGCCUGACGCAGCGACGCCGCGUGAGGGAUGAAGGUCUUCGGAUCGUACACCUCUGUCAGCAGGGACGAACGGUCACUGUGCUAAUCAGCAGUGAAUUGACGGUACCUGCAAAGGAAGCACCGGCUAACUCCGUGCCAGCAGCCGCGGUAAUACGGAGGGUGCGAGCGUUAAUCGGAAUUACUGGGCGUAAAGCGCGCGUAGGCGGUAUGUCAAGUCAAGGGUGAAAUCCCCGCGCUCAACGUGGUAACUGCCUUUGAAACUGGGAAACUGGAGUGUGUGAGAGGAUAGUGGAAUUCCAGGUGUAGGAGUGAAAUCCGUAGAUAUCUGGAGGAACAUCAGUGGCGAAGGCGACUAUCUGGCACAUAACUGACGCUGAGGAGCGAAAGCGUGGGUAGCAAACAGGAUUAGAUACCCUGGUAGUC